rnacentral:rRNA from 1 species
UACGUAGGGGGCAAGCGUUGUCCGGAUUCAUUGGGCGUAAAGAGCGUGUAGGCGGCCAGGUAGGUCGGUUGUGAAAACUGGAGGCUCGACCUUCAGAGGUCGACCGAAACCAUCUGGCUAGAGUCCGGGAGAGGAGAGUGGAAUUCCUGGUGUAGCGGUGAAAUGCGCAGAUAUCGGGAGGAACACCGGUGGCGAAGGCGGCUCUCUGGACCACUACUGACGCUGAGGCGCGAAAGCUAGGGGAGCAAACAGGG